rnacentral:rRNA from 1 species
AUACGUAGGGAGCAAGCGUUACCCGGAAUUACUGGGCGUAAAGGGCGCGUAGGCGGCUUGGUAAGUCUCUUGUGAAAGCUCCCGGCUUAACUGGGAGAGGUCAAGGGAUACUACCAGGCUUGAGGGCAGUAGAGGAAGGCGGAAUUCCCGGUGUAGUGGUGAAAUGCGUAGAUAUCGGGAGGAACACCAGUGGCGAAAGCGGCCUUCUGGGCUGUGCCUGACGCUGAGGUGCGAAAGCGUGGGGAGCAAACAGGAUUAGAUACCCCUGUAGUCC